UACGAAGGGGGCUAGCGUUGCUCGGAAUCACUGGGCGUAAAGGGUGCGUAGGCGGGUCUUUUAAGUCAGGGGUGAAAUCCUGGAGCUCAACUCCAGAACUGCCUUUGAUACUGAGGAUCUUGAGUUCGGGAGAGGUGAGUGGAACUGCGAGUGUAGAGGUGAAAUUCGUAGAUAUUCGCAAGAACACCAGUGGCGAAGGCGGCUCACUGGCCCGAUACUGACGCUGAGGCACGAAAGCCAGGGGAGCGAACGGG
rnacentral:rRNA from 1 species